rnacentral:rRNA from 1 species
GAUGAACGCUGGCGGCGUGCCUAAUACAUGCAAGUCGAGCGAACAGACGAGGAGCUUGCUCCUCUGACGUUAGCGGCGGACGGGUGAGUAACACGUGGAUAACCUACCUAUAAGACUGGGAUAACUUCGGGAAACCGGAGCUAAUACCGGAUAAUAUAUUGAACCGCAUGGUUCAAUAGUGAAAGACGGUUUUGCUGUCACUUAUAGAUGGAUCCGCGCUGCAUUAGGUAGUUGGUAAGGUAACGGCUUACCAAGGCAACGAGGCGUAGCCGACCUGAUAGGGUGAUCGGCCACACUGGAACUGAGACACGGUCCAGACUCCUACGGGAGGCAGCAGUAGGGAAUCUUCCGCAAUGGGCGAAAGCCUGACGGAGCAACGCCGCGUGAGUGAUGAAGGUCUUCGGAUCGUAAAACUCUGUUAUUAGGGAAGAACAAAUGUGUAAGUAACUAUGCACGUCUUGACGGUACCUAAUCAGAAAGCCACGGCUAACUACGUG